rnacentral:rRNA from 1 species
GAUGAACGCUGGCGGCGUGCCUAAUACAUGCAAGUCGAGCGAACAGACGAGGAGCUUGCUCCUCUGGCGUUAGCGGCGGACGGGUGAGUAACACGUGGAUAACCUACCUAUAAGACUGGGAUAACUUCGGGAAACCGGAGCUAAUACCGGAUAAUAUAUUGAACCGCAUGGUUCAAUAGUGAAAGACGGUUUUGCUGUCACUUAUAGAUGGAUCCGCGCCGCAUUAGCUAGUUGGUAAGGUAACGGCUUACCAAGGCAACGAUGCGUAACCGACCUGAGAGGGUGAUCGGCCACACUGGAACUGAGACACGGUCCAGACUCCUAAGGGAGGCAGCAGUAGGGAAUCUUCCGCAAUGGGCGAAAGCCUGACGGAGCAACGCCGCGUGAGUGAUGAAGGUCUUCGGAUCGUAAAACUCUGUUAUUAGGGAAGAACAAAUGUGUAAGUAACUAUGCACGUCUUGACGGUACCUAAUCAGAAAGCCACGGCUAACUACGUG